UUGGAUCAUAAGGAAAUAAAAAGGAAUUAAAACUUGAUAUUUGUGAAGGAGAAAUAGCAAUAUAAUAAAAAGUGGGACAGAGAGUGGCACAGGAUGUGGGACAGAAGAUCCGUUGCGCUAAUAAUUGUUUCCUUAAAAACUCCUAGUCAACUUUACCUCGACUUUGGUUUAUUGAAUCACCAGGCACCUGUCUACAAGAAUCUCCCUUCAUUUCAUCACUGCAAAUCUCUUCAGUUCGUGUUUUCUGAUCACUACAUUCAUCGUUUCUGCUACGAAUCUGUGUCAGGGAGAAGAAAAGAGAGAAACCAAGAUGGUCAACACAGUCCUGGAUUCUCCCAUACAAAAUCUGGAUUGGCUAGAGAAGAAUUGCAGCUUGGCAUCUCCGUUGAGGGAUCAAGUCUUGACCCUUAAACAGAAAUCAAGAUUUCUGAGGACAUACUUGAUUGCCACAGGAAUAUCUGAGGCUAAUCCUUCUGCAUCAAGCUCAUUGAUCAGCAGUUUUGAAACUGAUGUUGCAUUUAGCAAGGCGAUAGAUGAGCUUUCUUCUGCUUGUUUUCUGCCAGUGGAUUUGGAGAAAGUUGAUUCUUCGGUUUCUUACAUGCUGGAAAAUGUAAAACUUUGGGAGCCCAAAAUAAAGAAUGCUUAUGCUAUCCUGUCCGAGCAGCCCUGGGGGAGGGAAGUCAACUCUCCUCUGAUUGAUCCUAUUUCUUCCGUGGUUUUCAUCGACUCUGUACUGGAGAACCUGGUGGAUAUUUAUUAUGGCUCGAAUCAUCUAAUCUCUUCGAUGAAGAAAAAAGUUGAAAUACUAAUGGAGAAGUUAAGUUUCCUGAUGGAUUUCAUUGGAACUGCUGCAAAUCAAUCUAAUAUUGUUCAUCAGGAGAUGGCAACUUUUCUGAUCUAUGCUCAUUCUUUUACAACCAAAGCAGCGCGUUUCUCCUUUUUGUGCUGGGAUGGUGAACCGGAAGACGUCAUGGCUUGCCAUAUGGAUGUUAAACUUUCUGAUUUACUACAGACGAUUAUGCCCUCUAGCUCAGAUUUGACGGAGAUGUUCAUUCAACUUCUGAAAGCUUCGACGCCAACGGGACCAGGAACUGCAAAGACAGAUGCAAUCGCAAGCAUUAUCAAACUUCUCCUGCAAAACACGGUAGAAUCCCUCAAAGAUCGAUUCAGUUCCAUACUUGAGGAGCUAAUAUACCUUAUGAAAUUUCUAGUGGUUCUACCAGAUGAGUCGACUGGAGAUCUGGAAAGGAUCUUAUCCGAUAUCAGAGCAGCCGCUAGGGAGACUGCAUCAUUUCAGGUCAACGAAGUGAAAGAACAGCAAGUCGUUGAAAUGAAUCUUGUUCUCUCAAGGUCUCUUCAGAGGAUGAAGCUGAUCAAAGCGGAGAUCAUUCUGAUUCAGCUGCUAGACUCUCAAGAAGUUUUCAUGGUGUCAAUGAAGGAUAAAUACACUGCCCUCCAUGAAGGGUUGAAAUUCCUAAGAAGUGUUCGAAUUGAUCUACCUGAGGAGAAAGAAGAGGAUAGCAAACUACUCUCCAAACAUAUUGAAGUGCUAGGAGCCGAGGUAAUAUCUUUCAUACAUUCAAUUCAUGAAAACAAUUUGAUGCAAGAUCCCGAGAUGGAAAUGAAGCUUUCACUUCAUAUAUUGCUGCUUAAGAUUAAGCUGGUUAAGGCGGAUCUAUCAUUAAUGGAGCUACACAAUCAUGCAGCUAUUCUGGUAUUCGAUGUUAAGGAUCAUGAAAUUAAAAGCCUUCAUGAGGACAUGGAGUUCUUGAGAACAUGUCUCAUGGGCACCAUAGAGGUUGAGGCUAAUAUAGAGGAGUGGAAAUUGUUUGUGCUACAUCUUGACUGUGUUGUUAGUGAGUCAUCAUCACUUAUUUCGUCAUUUGGUGGCAGUGGAAUGACAGAAGAUAUGGCCAGUGAAUUGGAUCUUUCAAUUUUCAGGUUGCUUGUGAAAAUUAAGUUGAUCAAAGCAGAGGUUAUAUUGAUCGAGCUUAUUAAAACUCCCAAGUUUGGCUUGAUGGUUCACAUGAAUGAUGAAAUUAAAACCCUCCAGGAAGGGGUCAGAUUCCUCAGAACCUUCCUCAUUAAUCCUCCCGAGGAAGAAGUGGAUCAGCUGAUGUUGGCAAAAUGUGAAGCUAUAGCCAACGAUGCAGCAUCUCUGAUUUUCUCCUUUCAUGAGCACGUAAGGAAGGGGGAAAUGGCCUCUGAAAUGAGUCCUUCGCUUUCUGAGUUCGCAGAUAAGAUUGAACUUUUCAAAGCAGAGAUCCAAGGUACUUGUCUCCAAGUUCUAUUCUCAGAUUGCUCUGAAACACUUGGUACAGUAAAAAUAUUUGACCUCUUGGACUACAUAAUGGGCAAAGCUAAAUCAGUUGUGAAAUAUCAAGUCGAAAUGGUACUUGGGAAGUUCAAAUUCCCGAGAUUGUUCCUCAUGGAUACUGGCGAGCACCAUAGGAACCAUCAAGAAGUGAAAUAUCCCGUCGAAAAGCUACUUGGGGAGUUCGAAUUCCUGAGAUCCUUCCUCAUGGAUACUAGAGAGCACUAUAGUAACCAUCAAGAAGUGAAAGAUCUUUGGGCAUGUAUUAAAGAUGUUGCAUGGGAGACAGCGUAUAUCACCAAUUUGCUUGUGGUCAGAGAUAUUGCUCUUCGCUACUUAAAGCUGUGGAUUCCUUCGGCCAUGGAAGACAUCAAGAUCAUUAAAGCAAAGAUCAUGGAAAUAUAUGAUGAGAAAAGGUAUGGUAUUGGUGCCGACAGUGAUGCCUCAGCUGGUCCGCGGAGAAUUGACAACUUUGUAGUUGGGCUCGACAAUGAGGUAAGCUAUAUAACUUAUCAACUAACAACAGGGACAAAGAGGACGGAAAUCAUUUCAAUUGCGGGCAUGGGUGGGGUGGGUAAGACAACUCUAGCACAAGUGGUUUACAACCAUCCUCGAGUUGUUGAACACUUCCAGAUCCGUGCGUGGUGUAUUGUGUCUCGAGUAUACCAAAUACGAGAGCUCUUUUUUGAAUUAUUGCGUGAUGUUAUGGUUGUCUCUAAGAGAAUUUAUGACAUGGAUGAUGAUGGCUUAGCAGGUGUUCUGUACAAAUGUCUGAAGCAAAAAACAUACCUCAUUGUUUUGGAUGAUAUAUGGGACCGCGCAGCCUUGGAUGCUUUAAGACGAUCGUUUCCAGAUGAUAAUUCGGGAAGCACAAUUAUGUUGACCACCCGAAUGCCUGAUUUGGCUUCGCAAGCUGAUUGGACGGCACAUAUUCCUUCUCUUAAUCACCAUGAAUCUUGGCAUUUAUUAUGUAGAAAAGCAUUCGGUGAUACUGAUUUACCUCACGAACUUCGAAGCAUCGGAGAGAAGCUUGUAAAGUACUGCCACGGAGUACCUCUUGCAAU
rnacentral:lncRNA from 1 species